GACGAACGCUGGCGGCGUGCCUAAUACAUGCAAGUAGAGCGCUGAAGGAGGAGCUUGCUCUUCUGGAUGAGUUGCGAACGGGUGAGUAACGCGUAGGUAACCUGCCUGGUAGCGGGGGAUAACUAUUGGAAACGAUAGCUAAUACCGCAUAACAGUAGAUGUUGCAUGACAUUUGCUUAAAAGGUGCAAUUGCACCACUACCAGAUGGACCUGCGUUGUAUUAGCUAGUUGGUGGGGUAACGGCUCACCAAGGCGACGAUACAUAGCCGACCUGAGAGGGUGAUCGGCCACACUGGGACUGAGACACGGCCCAGACUCCUACGGGAGGCAGCAGUAGGGAAUCUUCGGCAAUGGACGGAAGUCUGACCGAGCAACGCCGCGUGAGUGAAGAAGGUUUUCGGAUCGUAAAGCUCUGUUGUAAGAGAAGAACGAGUGUGAGAGUGGAAAGUUCACACUGUGACGGUAUCUUACCAGAAAGGGACGGCUAACUACGUG
rnacentral:rRNA from 1 species